UAGAGACACAAACUUUACAACUAUUUUUCAGUAUCUAGGAUAAUGAUAUGGAUAUACUAGGUCUGUGUUAUAUGGAUAUACUAGGUCUGUAUGAUAUGGAUAUACUAGGUCUGUAUGAUAUGGAUAUACUAGGUCUGUAUGAUAUGGAUAUACUAGGUCUGCAUGAUAUGGAUAUACUAGGUCUGUGUUAUAUGGAUAUACUAGGUCUGUAUGAUAUGGAUAUACUAGGUCUGUAUGAUAUGGAUAUACUAGGUCUGUGUUAUAUGGAUAUACUAGGUCUGUGUUAUAUGGAUAUACUAGGUCUGUGUUAUAUGGAUAUACUAGGUCUGUGUUAUAUGGAUAUACUAGGUCUGUGUUAUAUGGAUAUACUAGGUCUGUGUUAUAUGGAUAUACUAG